AGAAACGGAAAGAGGAAGCUAAUGAAGAAGAGAGAGGAAGAUGGUGGAAAGACUGACUUUGCUCAGAGGGACAGUUUCUCCUUGACCCCGCAGAAUGCUUUAAUUCAAAGAAGUUCUACACAAUGGGAUCUGUCAUUGCACAUGGGAGUAUUUACCAACGCAACACAGAUGAAAGCCCCCCCCCACCCAUCUCUCUGUUUCCCGCUCCCAGUCUGGAUUGAUUUAACUGUACUGUUUCAAUUGUCUCUGCAGCAGCAGAUGUCGGCCAUAUUGAAACUGAACUUGGAGCCAGGCCUUCUCUACUGGGCUCAGGGCUUCUGCAGUUAGAGCAUUGGUCAAGUACAAUAGUGUUUGAAGAUUAUUUAUUUACUCCAUAUGUGAAAAACAGUUGUUAUAAUGUCUUCUGUGACUCUGGAGGAGUUUUUCAAUGUCUAUAACUCUAUGACAUCAAAAUAACUCAUUGUGAUGUCACCAGGGUUAUCUCAGUGUAAAUGUCAGACUUUUCACAUAAAGAUUGCAUCACUGUGA